rfam:Erinaceus europaeus unplaced genomic scaffold scaffold00303, whole genome shotgun sequence
GUCUAUGGCCAUACGACCCUCAACACACCCGAUCUUAUCUGAUCUCGAAAGCUAAGCAGAGUUGGGCCUGGUUAGUACUUGGAUGGGAGAAAGACUGCAAAGAACCUUGAACAUCAACC